rnacentral:lncRNA from 1 species
AUUAAACUGCAUAUUGCAGAGCAUGGUAAAUCCAACUUUCAGUGUUUGAAAACCAGUGUUCUGUAAAUCAUGCAGUCAAUACAAGUGAAACACUUGUGUUUAAUGAGGACUUGCAGAAGCCAUGCUCUGAGUGUGACUUCAUUAAGCUGCAAAUGAUUUCCAGAUUGAGUUAUUGAUCAUCUUUUGCAAGGUCUUGAAACAAACUUCUGCAGAAGAGAUUGAGCCUGAAUCCUCAAAUGUGCUGCGUGCUCGUUUAUGCUAGCCUUUCACCAACCAAUGAUGGAAGGAAAACAACACUGGAAGAAGUUGUCCAUUCAGUUGGCUAUCGGAGUAGCCACAUGCAGAUGCUGGGCCACUGUGGCAUAGACUGGAGAAUGCCUCGAAGGAUCAAGACCAAAAGUCUCCAACUUGCUAUAGCAUGUGAGAAAAAGCUGUCUGUGUUGCAAUACUCAACGCCUCUACAGUUCAGAAACAUACGCAAAGCCACGAUGAACCUCCUGAGCACUGGGACAAUGCAAUGGCAUCAGAUAAGACAAGAGUCUCCAGAAAUGGAAGAGGAGAAAUGGUCUAGCAGCUUGUAUGUGAAAAGUUACAACCUGAGAGGGGAAUUACUUGCAGUUCUUCUUUUCUGUACACACCAAGGGAUGCACCAACAUGCUUCAUAGUAAAAUCCCAACCACAUGCUCCAUACUUUAUUUCUCUGGAUUCAACCAUUUUUCUCAGAUACUGCUGCCACCAGCAUUGCAGCUUCUUAUCUGCAGAAGUUGAAAGAAGGAUUUUGUCACACUAAAGGUUGUCUUCUUAACUAAGCAGUUUCAAGGAUGGCUCGCAGACAGUCAGGUUCAUACCCAUGGAUGUGUUUAGUUGUUUAGCUCAUACAGGGAAACAAACAGGAAGGAAUUUUGAGCUUAAAUAUGGGCUUGAAUCCGGCCUUCUAUCUGGUAUAUCUGAAUGACUUGUCUUUCUACUCAUUGUCAGCUGCGGAUGACAUUGGGAUAAAAGGUGAUCAAAUUUUGUCAGGUGUUAUGUCCUUUAGCUUUGAGGAUUGAAUUAGUCCUAGAAGCACCAUGCAGCUGUUGUCACCUGUUCACUCUGAAGAAGGCGGUUCAUGUGGUCAAAAGAGAAGAAGCAAAAUGCAAAGAGUUUCACAAACCUACUUGUGACAACAUAUCUAGCUUCCACUCCUGGGAAUUGCCCCUACAUGCUCUGAGGAGAAAAACCUGUUCAAAACAAGACUGUAGCCUAGCUCUCCAACUCAGAGAGGGGAGAGGGGUUUGGACCUGCAGUCAUCAGAUAAUGGAACUAUGGGACUGACAUUAAAACUGUGUAAGAAGAAAUAAGAAGGGGUGAAUUUUCCAACAGAUUUUUUUCUUCUCCUCUGUGGAAAGGACUCAAUACAGAGAAACCUGUGUUUGGAUGUAGGUUUUUAAAUUAUUAGCAUCAUUUUUAUAUCUUAAUCCUUCCCCAAAAGAUAAUAUUGAAUGAGCUGUGUACUCUAAGAUGGGAAUUAUUUGGUGAGUGUUUAAGCUAUUUUUCUAAGAAAGCAGAUGUUUGUGGUUAAUUUCUCUGUUCUUGAGAGAAAGAUUAUUGGUCUUACCCAUUCUGCUGGACUCCUUUAAGAACUGUUCCUAGUGCUGGACUCAUUCCUACCUUGGUUCUAGAGCUGCUUUUUUCUUUUCCAUCAGCUCGACCCUUUCUUUAAAGGGUUGACAACCUGUACUUCAAGGGCUGUAGUAGCAAUUCUCUAAGAUUUGCCUUUUAAACUUUUUUUUUUUAUUUUGAGCACAAAAAGAAAGAGAAGAUAUUACUAUAUGAUUAAGGGCCCGUAAUCUGUCAUUUGUGGUGUACUGCCUUGACUGAAGUUAAAUUUAGCAAGACUGCCAACCACAUGACAAUUAUAUAGCUUUAAAAAAAUGCAUGAAAUGCUAGGUUUUAUUUCAAAGGCAAAUAAUUCAUUUAAAGCAGACAUUUUGCCUAAUCUCUCACACAUUUUUUUUAAAAAAGCACAACAUCCCACCUCUGAUCUGUUUUUUUUUUUUUCAAUGUUUCUGAGAUGCACCAUUUAUCUUGAGCCAAAAAGUAGUAAAGCACUCUUGACUUUUAUGCCCUUUACCUUACCCACAGGAACUGCUUUGUCACGUCACUAGCAUUAUAUAGAUCAUUUGUACAGGAGAGGAAGGAACCAAGAAACCAAUGAAUUGUAGCUGCUUUUAAAAAGGAGCUGAAAAUCAAUAAUAAAUUAUCGUUUUCUUUAGCA